ACCAGUGUGGCAUAGUGGUUUGAGUCCUGGAUUGUAUCUCUGGAGACCAAGGUUCAAUUCCUAGCUCAGCUA